UUCCAGAGAUGAUCAGACGCACAUUAAUCUGUGAAAUAAGAGCUUUUCAAAUCAAUUUUCAAAUCAAGAUUCGUGUUUUCAGAAUCUGGAGACCAAGGAAGUACAACAAUGAGAUGUACAAUGGUCUCCAUUAUGUGUUAGUUGAUAAAGAGGGAAAUACGAUUCAUGCUAUAAUUGAUGAAUCUGAUUAUCCUUAUGUGUUGUCAUGAUGGAACAAGGACAGAUCUAUGACAUCACCCAUUUCUCCAAACGGAGACACGUAUCCAAAUACAAAGUUGUAGAUCAUGAUGCUCAGCUGUAUUUCAAAGAGUCAACGAAAUUCGAACCAGUGGAACAUACGUUGCCUCCAAUUCCGCAGUAUGCAUUUCAUCUUCUUGAUUUUAAUUAAAAGGUAUGAAAAAGUUGCACUUGAGUACUGAUGUUGGUCAACCUGAGUUUAGUCGUCCUGAGUUUUCUCUGUCCGUCUGCUACACGAAGUUACUCCAGACCGAAGCUGAAAAAGCAUCAAGUAUUAUGCGGAUCAUCCUGAAGAAAUCAACAAAGCUUCCAAAAACGAAGGCUCAACUAUCCGGGUCUUAGGAUCCAAAAUUAGAAUGUUGUAUAACAUUUGGAACUUAGUAACUCAAGUUACAACCAGAUUCUGCAUGCUUCUCAAAAAUGUUCCGCCA